rnacentral:rRNA from 1 species
GAUGAACGCUAGCGACAGGCCUAACACAUGCAAGUCGAGGGGCAGCACUUCGGGUGGCGACCGGCGCACGGGUGAGUAACGCGUAUGCAACCUACCCAUUACAGGGGUAUAACUGUCAGAACCGGAAACUCAUCACGAAUAAUUCCCCGGGAUCGCAGCGGUCGGUGGUUAAAGACUUACGGAAACGGAUGGGCAUGCGUGACAUUAGGUAGUUUGUAGAGUAACGGCCUACCAAGACUACGAUGUCGAGGGGUUGUGAGAGGAAGGUCCCCCACACUGGGACUGAGACACGGACCAGACUCCUACGGGAGGCAGCAGUGAGGAAUAUUGGUCAAUGGGCGAGAGCCUUAACCAGCCAAGUCGCGUGCAGGAUUACUGCCUUAUGGGUUUUAAACUGCUUUUAUAAAGGAAUAACAACUCUUACGUGUAAGAGGAUGAAUGUACUGUAGGAAUAAGGAUCGGCUAACUCCGUGCCAGCAGCCGCCGUAA